CCUUGACAGUUACAUAAUGUGACUGACAUUUGCCAAGACAAGGAGAUUUAAAUG
rnacentral:ncRNA from 1 species